UUCAUGACGGAAGAAGGGCUUGUUGAGGGCAAGUCACAGAGCUGGCAGCUGUGCUGAGGUCUGGACACGGGAUGCUCUGCGGGUCCUUCUCUCUGGCGGCAGCUGGGAAAUGCUGCUGGAGGAGAGGCUAGAGUAUGCUUGAACCAUAGAGGAGCAUUGCAAAGGGCUAGGAUGCCGACCACAUGAAUAAGCCCCAGAGAGGGCUGCAGUAUGGACCACAAACCAUGAGAGAGGCCAGAGCACUGACCCUUUAGCUAGGGCAGUUACAGUGGAAAGCCAAAAAUGGAAACAAGCAAAAAGCAGCGCUGACAUCUGGCCAUUUAAAUCAUACCUGCUUGAAAUGUU